AAUAUGUCCCCGUCCAUGUGAGGAAAAGGAUAAAAAAACAAACAAAAGGUAAAACCCUCUCGCGCGACGCCAGCAGCUGGUUGGGGUUUACCUGAUUGCCUCGCCGUCUCUCCAUCUCUCUCACUCAACACAAGCCCAUUUCUCUGCAAUUUGGUGUCUGUCCAUCAAUCAUAUACAAGCCCAGAGAAAGUACCAGUAGAAAACAAUAUAAAGAAAUGGCUAGUCAGCAAAAAGGAGAAGAAGAUCAGCCAACUUCCAGCCCCCCUGCUGCUGGUUUUGGGCAGAUGGCAGUAGAACGAUAUCGAAAAAUCAGAGAGCAUGCAGAAACUUAUCCCUAUGUGUGGGCUUCAUACAUCGUUGUAUAUGGCGGUUUAGGCCUAUGGGCCACCUAUAGAUGGAGAAAGCUUCGCAAAACCGAGGACAGAGUGCGAGCCCUUCAAGAGAGGCUACGCAAACUUGUCGAAACUCAAGAGGGUGCCAGCUCCGCCAGGUCUGUUGAAAAGGCUCCAUCAUCCGCUGAUAAAACAACCAAAUAGCCAUCAGCUAUUUCUAUCCAGGCUUUUCCUAUACUUAGUUUUGAAACAUAUUAGCUUGGAAUAUGUUUGCAAGAGUUGAUGAAAAUCUCAAAUGGGCAAAAGUGCAAAUACUAUUUUUGGAUAAACAGAGCGAAGAACUGUGCAUUCCCCAUGAAAUUUCUGUUGUCAAUUUCUUAGAAGCGGUGAAAUCCACCAACCUCUACAAUUUUUCUGUAUGGAGGUGAUUAUUCUGUGUUAAUCCACGGCCUGAACAGAGAGCUGGAUGAAAUGAUACAUAUCUGGUUGAACUGUUUAAUGUCUA